GGCUCGCGUCGCCCUGCCCGAGCCGACGGGUGGCGUCUUCUCCCCGCCGGGCGAGCGGAACUGCCGGCGGGGCCGCUUGGCCCCUCGCCGUCCCUUUUGGGAACAGCAGCUCAAGAGGCCUCCUGAGCGCCGGAAGAGGAAAAAGGGCUGGUGCGGUGGGGAAGCUUUCAGGGGCAAAAGCAAGGGAGGCGCCCGGCUGCUUUCUGCCUCCGCUCGAAGGCACUCGCUGCCUGCAGGCGUGGUGUGUGGCUGAGCCCUGCCGCCCGCCGUGCGGCCGAGGGAAGCGGAGCUGCCAACGACGCCUUGAAAUGGCUCCAGUAUCACGGCGCGGUAAAGUUUGGUCCUGUUCCGGGGCUCAGUCGCGACCGAAGUUUUCUCCUUCGUCGAAGUUGUAAAUGAGAGGCGCGAGGUGUCUCGGCCGCUGUGGAUGGACUUGGGUAGAACUGAGCCGCGCACGGGCCCCUCGCCUCCCUUGGCCCUUUGGCCUCACCAAGCUGGACUCCGAAACUCGGCACGGACGAAGCUGUUUUUCUAUUCUACGCCAACUGGCGGCAACGCUGCGCUGCCUCUGAGGGAGCAUCCAAAACCAGAUCUGAGUGUGUAAGAACCUAAGAAUCACCUGCUUGGAUUUCCUUUGUGUCUGUUGAAGCUGAAAUUUUACUUCACAAAAAUAUUUUGGUCCUGCAAAGCUAUGCCUGUUAAACUGUAUAUUUAAGUUGUAAGAUUUAAACCACAGACAGUAGCAUCUAGUCUCCAUAAUGGGGAUCCUUCAGAAAUGUCUCAUUUGAACAUUAAAGGUAUGGUCUGGCACUGUU